rnacentral:lncRNA from 1 species
CUUAAAGGUCCCCAGUGUGGAUGAGCUGCUUCCCUCUGAGACCACAGGUGCAGACAUCACUCUACAGCAUCCUCGAGAGGUCUCCCUAGGCUCGUUUCCUUUCUCAGCAGGGUGAAGUUUGAGUGAGAGCCGAGCAAGCUCUCCAGAAAACUGUUCCAUUUGUGAACAUCUGGAGAUUCACAGAUCUGUGACACAGCAUGGGGUCACCCUGGGCUUGACCACUUCCACACAGGUCCCUGAAAACCUAUUAUAAUCUUUUUCCUGACCGCCUGCACUGCCCUAGAAGCUUAACUCAUAAACAUAACAAAAUAACAUCUGCAAUUUAAAAAAAAGUUUGCAUUAAAUACUUACUAUAUG